rnacentral:rRNA from 1 species
AACGAACGCUGGCGGCAGGCUUAACACAUGCAAGUCGAGCGCCCCGCAAGGGGAGUGGCAGACGGGUGAGUAACGCGUGGGAAUCUACCCAUCUCUACGGAAUAACGCAUGGAGACGUGUGCUAAUACCGUAUACGUCCUUCGGGAGAAAGAUUUAUCGGAGAUGGAUGAGCCCGCGUUGGAUUAGCUAGUUGGUGGGGUAAAGGCCUACCAAGGCGACGAUCCAUAGCUGGUCUGAGAGGAUGAUCAGCCACACUGGGACUGAGACACGGCCCAGACUCCUACGGGAGGCAGCAGUGGGGAAUAUUGGACAAUGGGCGCAAGCCUGAUCCAGCCAUGCCGCGUGAGUGAUGAAGGCCCUAGGGUUGUAAAGCUCUUUCACCGGUGAAGAUAAUGACGGUAACCGGAGAAGAAGCCCCGGCUAACUUCGUGCCAGCAGCCGCCGUAAUAC